GGAAUAAAAGUCGUAACAAGGUUUCCGUAGGUGAACCUGCGGAAGGAUCAUUAUUGUAUAACCGAGGUGCGAGGGCUGUCGCUGACCCGAAAGGUCGUGCACGCCCGAGUGCCCUCACACACAUCCAUCUCACCCCUAUGUGCACCACCGCGUGGGUCCCCCUUUGGCUUGUUCGGAGGGGGGCUUACGCUUUCACACAAACUUUGUAUGCAGUGUAGAAUGUAUUUUUUGUUUUUGCGAUCACGCAAUCAAUACAACUUUCAACAACGGAUCUCUUGGCUCUC
rnacentral:misc_RNA from 1 species